GUCUUAAAUACAAAAUGAAUGGAAUACAAAAUAACCUCCCUCAUUGUUUUUUUUCCCGGACAAAUGACAGGAUGCAUACAGAACUGCUACUUUUGUGAUGUUGCAAGUAAUGGUAUAGAUGUGCACAAAUCAUGGAUGUGGUCCCAGUGAUCCAUGGAAAUGUGAAGUCCAGACAUGCCUUUUGCCUUCUGCCAUGAUUGUGAGGCCUCCCCAGCCAUGUGGAA
rnacentral:lncRNA from 1 species